AGUGAGCAAAAAUGAAUACUAAUUCUAGCUGCUCCUGAGUCCAGAGAGCGGCACACUCCAUCUCAGUGAAGUAGCUCUUUCUGAGAUUCCUCAUCCGUGGGGCUUUUCAGUUAAUCAAGAGAGUAUGUCCAGGCUAGUCUACUUAGGCAAGGUCGAGGCAAGAGGAAGCUAAAUGGCUCUGCCUGAAAAGAGAAGACAGGAAUUUUUAAAGUGGGCAAAACAAGAAUGAUAAUAGGCAUGUCUCAAGGUUGCUGUGUGGACCAGCUAAAGCCCUAUGUAAGAAAGCACUUCACAUACAGAAGAGGGGCCUACAAAUUUGAGAACUAGUCCAGCAUAUUCUGGUUGGGUUCACCUUCUCUCUGAUCAUCCACCAUUGGCCACCUUUGGGUGACAUCUCACGGGAUGGGCUCCCAACAGCUGGCAGAACUAUGCUGGGCCCUACCCUGUCAAGUAACUCACAGAUGACCCCGCAGCUUGCUUUUAAAAGUGAAUGACACUUUGCAGGCUGAAUAAGCUGAAAAUGACAUUAUUCUGAACCAUCAAUAUCUCCCGAUUUAAAAAUGUCUUCCCUCCGUCUUCUCUUUUUUCAUCUCUACUCCCAUCACCAUCUCACUGAAGUUGUACAACAUCAUGCAGUCAUUUAUAUUCACCUAUUUAAAAUAAAAACCUAAUCAUACCAAGCAGAAGAAAAA
ensembl:lncRNA LINC02223 long intergenic non-protein coding RNA 2223